GACAGAGGGGGCAAGCGUUGCUCGGAAUUACUGGGCGUAAAGGGCGCGUAGGCGGGCUGGCAAGUCGGUCGUGAAAUCCCUCGGCUCAACCGAGGAACGUCGAUCGAUACUGCUGUUCUUGAGGAUUGCAGAGGAGACUGGAAUUCCCGGUGUAGCGGUGAAAUGUGUAGAGAUCGGGAGGAACAUCAGUGGCGAAGGCGGCUACCUGGCCCAAUACUGACACUCAGGUGCGACAGCGUGGGGAGCAAACAGG
rnacentral:rRNA from 1 species